CCUACGGGGGGCAGCAGUGGGGAAUAUUGGACAAUGGGCGAAAGCCUGAUCCAGCAAUGCCGCGUGAGUGAUGAAGGCCUUAGGGUCGUAAAGCUCUUUUACCAGGGAUGAUAAUGACAGUACCUGGAGAAUAAGCUCCGGCUAACUCCGUGCCAGCAGCCGCGGUAAUACGGAGGGAGCUAGCGUUGUUCGGAAUUACUGGGCGUAAAGCGUACGUAGGCGGUUAUUCAAGUCAGAGGUGAAAGCCCGGGGCUCAACCCCGGAACGGCCUUUGAAACUAGAUAGCUAGAGUCUUGGAGAGGUCAGUGGAAUUCCGAGUGUAGAGGUGAAAUUCGUAGAUAUUCGGAAGAACACCAGUGGCGAAGGCGACUGACUGGACAAGUACUGACGCUGAGGUACGAAAGCGUGGGGAGCAAACAGGAUUAGAUACCCUGGUAGUC
rnacentral:rRNA from 1 species